GGUCCUCUCGGACGACGAAAAGGAACGUAGGCGUUCACGGGUGUCAUUGCGCGGUCACGUUAUUCUGCUGUCACGAGCCUUAUCCGAGUCGUGGCUGGAAAAUUUGAACGGACAUCAAUUAUACAGCACGUAUUAUUUUAACCAAAUCUAGUGCGCGAAUAGAGAGACCAAGAACAUCUUACCGCUGGUUGGCAAUUGAGACGCUCCACUGAGUUAUUCCGAUCAGCUGGUGAUGAACUCCAGUAUUUGAAUGAUAUUGCUAGCCAGCUAGCUAGCUAGCUGUUAAGCUAGCUUUACGGUGCGUGACUCGAAGUAACUGAACAGUAUAGUCUUGGACAGUUUUCUUACUAAUACAUCUGAGUGCAUUCAUCUUUAAGACAUUCAUCAGUAGCCGUUCUUAACUUUAGCAAAUUAUUAUGGUAGGAGUUAUACGUCGCUUCUAAUCCAACGUAGAUGAGGAUUGAAUGAAAUAACGUUAGCUCGCCAUAGCCAACGGAAACGAGCCAGCUAACAGGGAUAACGUUAACUUAUCCGCUGCUUGUUGAUAGACUGCCAUCCAGCGGAUCUAGCAAAUGCUACUCGAGUUAGCCACCUAAAAGCAUCCAGUGAGCUUGUUAGGCAACAGUCAAACAUAAAGUUGAAGUAAACGACUGAAACUGCGAGGCAGCUAGCUACUACUGAACGUCAAGUUUCCCAUCGUCCACUCCAGUCCGCUGUGAAAGGGUGACCAGCGUCAGUGUCAAUUUUUCGGAGAAGGCCGGAGUGAGGAUAGAAACCUGCAAAAAUGCCGGCUGUGUCGAAAGGAGAUGGAAUGCGCGGACUGGCUGUUUUCAUUUCGGACAUUAGAAAUUGUAAGAGCAAGGAGGCUGAGAUCAAACGGAUUAAUAAAGAGCUGGCCAACAUCCGCUCCAAGUUUAAAGGGGACAAGGCUUUGGACGGCUACAGCAAGAAGAAGUAUGUCUGCAAGCUGCUCUUCAUCUUCCUGCUUGGCCAUGACAUUGACUUUGGACAUAUGGAGGCUGUUAACCUGCUGAGCUCUAACAAGUACACAGAGAAACAGAUUGGCUACCUGUUCAUCUCAGUACUGGUAAAUAGUAACAGUGAGUUAAUUCGUCUGAUCAACAAUGCCAUCAAGAACGACCUGUCCAGCCGUAACCCCACCUUCAUGUGCCUGGCGCUUCACUGUAUCGCGAAUGUGGGAAGUCGUGAGAUGGCAGAGGCCUUUGCCAGUGAGAUCCCUCGGAUCCUGGUUGCUGGUGAUACAAUGGACAGUGUGAAACAGUCAGCUGCCCUUUGUCUGCUGCGGCUCUAUAAGACUUCUCCUGACCUGGUGCUGAUGGGUGAAUGGACAUCACGGGUGGUGCACUUACUCAAUGACCAACACAUGGGUGUAGUGACAGCAGCCAUCUCUCUCAUCACCUGUCUGAGCCAGAAGAAUCCCGAUGAGUUCAAGACCUGUGUUUCCCUGGCUGUUUCGCGCCUCAGCAGGAUUGUGUCAUCAGCCUCCACUGAUCUGCAGGAUUACACUUACUAUUUUGUGCCAGCACCCUGGCUUUCCUGCAAGCUGUUGCGCUUGCUGCAGUGUUACCCUCCACCAGAAGAUGGUGCUGUCAAAGGCCGUCUGGUAGAGUGUCUGGAGACCAUUCUUAAUAAGGCCCAGGAGCCACCAAAGUCAAAGAAGGUGCAGCAUUCGAAUGCCAAAAACGCCAUCUUGUUUGAGGCUAUCUCACUUAUCAUUCACUAUGACAGUGAGCCAAAUCUGCUGGUACGAGCCUGCAACCAGCUGGGGCAGUUCUUGCAGCACAGGGAGACGAACCUGCGCUACCUGGCUUUGGAGAGCAUGUGUACUCUGGCCAGCUCUGAGUUUUCCCAUGAAGCGGUCAAGACACACAUUGAGACUGUUAUCAAUGCCCUCAAGACUGAGAGGGAUGUGAGUGUGCGGCAGCGAGCAGCUGAUCUCUUGUAUGCCAUGUGUGAUCGCAGCAAUGCCAAGCAGAUCGUGGCUGAGAUGCUCAGCUAUUUGGAGACCGCAGAUUAUUCCAUCAGAGAGGAAAUGGUGCUCAAAGUGGCCAUACUGGCAGAGAAAUAUGCCGUGGAUUACUCCUGGUAUGUCGACACCAUUCUCAACCUCAUUCGCAUUGCUGGGGACUACGUCAGCGAAGAGGUGUGGUAUCGUGUCAUUCAGAUCGUCAUCAACAGAGAUGAUGUGCAAGGCUACGCCGCUAAAACGGUGUUUGAGGCUUUGCAAGCCCCUGCCUGUCAUGAGAACAUGGUGAAAGUAGGAGGCUACAUUCUAGGAGAAUUUGGUAACCUGAUUGCUGGUGACCCACGCUCCAGCCCCUUGGUCCAGUUCAACCUUCUCCAUUCCAAGUUCCACCUAUGCUCUGUGCCGACUCGUGCUCUGCUGCUGUCGGCUUACAUCAAGUUUAUCAACCUGUUCCCAGAGACCAAGGCCACCAUCCAAGAGGUGCUGCGCUGCGACAGCCAGAUCCGCAACUCAGAUGUGGAACUGCAGCAGCGUGCUGUCGAGUAUCUCAAGCUUUCUUCGAUUGCUAGCACCGAUGUCCUGGCCACUGUUUUAGAGGAGAUGCCUCCCUUUCCAGAGAGGGAGUCGUCCAUUCUGGCUAAGCUGAAGAAGAAAAAGGGGCCCGGAGCGGUGUCUGUGACAGAGCUGGAUGACAGCAAACGAGAGGGUGGGGAAUUAAAUGGAGGGGGUGACAGGGGUCCAGACACAGCAGCCAUGGCUGCAUCUAAUGCUUCCACCCCUUCACCAUCAGCAGACCUGCUUGGGAUUCGUUCUGCUGCUCCUGUUGGUACCGCUCAAACCAACGCUGGCAGCCUGCUGGUCGACGUGUUCUCUGAGUCAGGGCCUGCCGCGCCUUCUGCUGCUGUGAAUGACGACGGCUUUCUAAGAGAUCUGGAACAGCCCACCGAGACCUCCGAUUCCCUAUUGGUGGAGGGUUCUGGUGACUUGGACUCUGCUCCUCCCUCUGAGGAUCCUGCUCCUCCUCUGUCUGAGGCGGAUGAACUUCUUAACAAGUUUGUGUGCAAAAACAAUGGAGUUCUGUUUGAGAAUCAGCUGCUGCAGAUUGGCAUCAAGUCAGAGUAUCGUCAGAAUCUGGGGAGAAUGUACCUAUUCUACGGUAACAAGACGUCUGUUCAGUUUGCCAGCUUCAGCACCACGGUCAGCUGUCCUGGAGAAAUGCAGUCUCAGCUCAAUGUUCAGAGCAAACCAGUGGAACCGCUGGUAGAGGGUGGAGCUCAGAUCCAACAGGUCCUCAACAUCGAGUGCCUGACUGACUUCUCCGACGCCCCGCUGCUCAACAUAAAGUUCAGAUAUGGAGGAGCUCUUCAGAACCUGACCCUCAAGCUGCCUGUCACCAUCAACAAGUUCUUCCAGCCAACUGAAAUGUCCUCAAAUGAUUUCUUCCAGCGCUGGAAACAGCUGAGCCAGCCUCAGCAAGAAGCACAAAAGAUUUUCAAGGCCAACCACAGCAUGGACACCGAAGUACUUAAGGCCAAGCUCCUGGGACUGGGAACAGCCCUGCUGGACAACAUUGAUCCCAACCCGGAGAAUUAUGUGUGUGCUGGAGUGAUUCAGACCAAGAGCCAGCAAAUUGGCUGUCUGCUCAGACUGGAGCCAAACGCACAGGCACAGAUGUACCGUCUGACCCUGCGCUGCAGCAAAGACACUGUGUCAAAACGUCUCUGCGAGCUGCUGGCCCAACAGUUCUAGAGCCCACACCUGUGUGACCAGUACUCCCACCAUCCCCACCAGCGAUCUCCCCCUCAAACCCUCUCGCCACACCUCUCCUCCUUCCUCCAACAAAGAAUCUGAGUAAAAAAGGUGUAACCUACAUAAGGGAAAAGCAGCCGCUGCUAGUAGCAGCAAUAUUAAUGUAAUUCUUCUUGUUCAAGAUUCUGAUUCCAGUUCAUCUUCUACUUGUUUAUUAACAUGAUGCUACAUAAUUGUUUUUGUUGGUUUACCUGUGCAGCUGGAAUGUGUAUGACUGAGAGAGAGAGAAUGCAUGUGUGUGUGUGUGUUUGUGUGUUUCCCAUGGUUGUGCCUGGGGUCUCAUUCUGCUCCAUCCUAACUGUGUUAAGUAGUAAUGCUGUGUGUGUGUGUGUGUGUGUGUGUGUGUGUGUUUUAAUUUGUAGGACAUUCCUUUAAAAUGCUGUUAAUUGCACAUGUAAUCCAACCCCCCCGCCGCUCCUCACACACUACUAUAAGGCUUGAGUCCUUGUGACUGGACCUGCCAGUGGCUCCAGAUCAGAGGGGUUGUCGAGCAUUUCCAACUGAAGAAGCACCUUAAGGUGUUGGGGAUCAUCUUUGAGCCACAGGCUCCUUUACUUUCCACUGAACUUCCUGAGUCCUCUCCUGACACCUUCUGCCAUUCAUUUCUGAGAUCUAGUGCUCUUGUUGAUGUUGUCCAUGUAUAAACUGCCAGCAAAUCAAUUUCAUUGUUUCCAGACAUUCCCAUCAGCUUGUUUAGAAUGCUGCUGAUCACUGAAUCCAGGAUGAGUACAACAGCAGCACACAGAUGACGGGUACAGGCAGACCAGCUGUGUCUUUUAGACCCUCUUCAGUCAGCUCCAUCCAUUUCCUGGAAGUGUUCAGGUGCUUGGCAUUGAAAGCUUAGGGAGGGCAGAGAGUUUCAGAUGUUCACUUGGCAAGCUUAGUGCAUAGUUUUCAUUUUAGCACUGUAAGACUUUUUGAGCCCAUCUGAUGAAGUAAAUCUCACUUUUAUGGGUUUCCCAAGAACAUUUUUAAGUGCUGCUGCUUCUUUCAGAAAGCAGCACAGAGGUGAGCUUAAUUCUUUACAGGAAACAUUUGAAUACUAUGCUUUGGUUUUACGAGAGAGAAUUCAGAGGUACUAAUUGGUUAAUUGGCACAUCGAUGGCUGUUUUUUUUUUUUCCUCACUGCUGGAGAAGUGCAGUGCAUAGCUGCUUCAACAGGAGGUUCACAGGCAGCACCCGGGCCUGUGGACCAUACCUGAGCCACUGUCAGGAAUACUGGUCGUGGUUUGGGCUGCUGCAUCAUUGUCAUAUGGGUCAUUAAUUAACAGUUUUGGGAUUUUUUUCUUCUCUGGAGAAAUGCACAGCUGUAAUUAUGAUUUAAGUAAAGCAUAAAUGGAUGCACCAAAUUCACCUAAUUGAUACAACAGCUUUGUACAGAUGGAGCAACAUCUCAGCUUGGACACAAACCACUUUAAUCCACAGUUCUGCUUGUUCAGCUUAAAAUUAUAUAAGAGGUCUUUGCGAAGAAAUCAACCUGAAUAUUUAGCUUCUAUCCAGCAUCAGAGUCCUGAGAUCAGUUCAUCCACAGCUCUUCCUGGGUUUCGUGUCAUAUUCAAGCACUGAUAUUAUGGGAGGAAGAGGGCAGGAUGUCAGACACCCACAUGUCCAGCACAACUGCAGGGGAAUGAGAAAAAAAUAAGAUAUAUAAGUGUGUGUGUGUGUGUGUGUGUGUGUGUGUGUGUGUGUGUGUGUGUGUGUGUGUGUGUGUGUGUGUGUGUGUGUGUGUGUGUGUGUGUGUGUGUGUGUGUGUGUGUGUGUGUGUGUGAGAAAGAAGGUGAGUCAUUGUCUUUCCAGAUGAUUACAUUUGCACUUCUGCCAAAAGCAACAUUUGAGUUGGUUUCAUUUUGAAUAGAGGAGCUAAAGGUGUGUGUGUGUGUGUGUGUGUGUGCAGACAGGGUUAGUUUGGUGGAGAAAAACGGAGGAGAUUCUGUGAUGGCGGCACUUGUGACACAGAUAAUGUUAAAGUACAUAAUUUGUAUCCACAAAUAGAAAUAUCACAUCACUUUUGAGUGCUGCUAAAUGAAAUGAUGCUGUUUUGAACAAAUACAGAUGUCAGCAGCUGCAACAUCACAUCAGUAACAGUUCAGAAGAUUGCAUGAAAGUUCAAACAUUUACAUGUCAUAGACGGGCUUGUAGCGGCUUACUAAUGGAAUGUGGCACGCCCAAAGCGAUGCUGUUAUUUUCCAUGCCUUCCUGUAGGGGGCAGGAGAGCUCCACAGAAAUAUUAUCAAAGGAAAGGAGGCAGCAUUGCAGCGGCUCCAGGCUGCAGUCAGCUCUGCAGCUGCCAUGUCUGUUUGUUGCCUCCUCACAGUCUUUAAUGAUUUUGAAUACUGAAAACAUUCAUAAAUAACAGAUGCCAACUUAAGUGCCUGAUCAAACUGUGCAUUAAAGCAUUGGCUGGAUCAUUGCAUGGUACUAGUGUGUGUGUGUGCGUGUGUGUGUGUGUGUGUGUGUGUGUUUUUUUUUCUCAACAU